rnacentral:lncRNA from 1 species
CCAGCAAGAUUAAUCUAUUUUUCAUUCCGACUCCUAAAAGAUUAUUGUAAGCAAGUAUUUAUACAACAUAUUCGCACGUAUAAUAUAGAAAAUCUCAAAUUCAUAUCAAACAAACAUUCUAUGUCACAUUAGAAUCCUUUUCUAGGAUCCUUAAAAUCCCAUAUCCAAUUACACAAACAUGCAUAAGCCAGAAAAAUCAAACCCUAGCCAUGACAAGAAACUUGCACCAAAAAUCAUAUUUUCGGACAACCUAGUACUAAUUAUCACACACUUGACCAAUAAAAUCAAACUCACUAUCAAGAACAAAUUAAAGAAACACAAUUCAACACACACUUAAUUCAUCAUUACAUGUCCCUAACUUUAGUCGAACAACACCAUUCUUGAAAACCCAAACACCGGACAUUUUUCCAAUGGAGCUAAAGAAGAUGAAAAAUAUAAAAGAGAGAAUGAGAAUCAAAUGCAAUGGGUCGUAUGUGAUUCAAAGAUGAACUUAUGAGCAAGGGCCAAGGGGUCCUGCUGAAUGUGGAUAUAUGUAGAGGAUGCUGUAGAAUUUACUAUAGUUAUUAUUAUUAUUAUUAUUUCAUAAUUGAGGAGCAUAAGAAUU